rnacentral:rRNA from 1 species
UACAGAGGUCUCAAGCGUUGUUCGGAUUCAUUGGGCGUAAAGGGUGUGUAGGUGGCGCGCUAAGUCGGGUGUGAAAUUUCGGAGCUUAACUCCGAAACUGCAUUUGAUACUGGCGUGCUUGAGGACUGGAGAGGAGACUGGAAUUCAUGGUGUAGCAGUGAAAUGCGUAGAGAUCAUGAGGAAGACCAGUGGCGAAGGCGGGUCUCUGGACAGUUCCUGACACUGAGACACGAAGGCCACGGGAGCAAACGGG